UCAACAGACACAGAUGCUUCCCUAUCUUCAUAUGAUGAAGAUCAGGGACCCAAACUUAUUAGAAAAGCUAAAGACGCACCAUUCAUCCCCAUUGGAAUGGCAGGUUUUGCAGCAAUUGUUGUAUAGGGAUUAUACAAAUUGAAGAGCAGGGGAAAUACUAAAAUGCCCCUUCAUCUGAUCCACGUGUGUGUGGCAGCCCAAGACUUUGUUGUAGGAGUAAUGACUCUUGGCAUGGGCUAUUCCAUGUAUUAGGAAUUCUGGGCAAUCCUAAGCCUUAG
rnacentral:lncRNA from 1 species